rnacentral:rRNA from 1 species
GACGAACGCUGGCGGCGUGCUUAACACAUGCAAGUCGAACGGAAAGGCCCUGCUUUUGUGGGGUGCUCGAGUGGCGAACGGGUGAGUAACACGUGAGUAACCUGCCCUUGACUUUGGGAUAACUUCAGGAAACUGGGGCUAAUACCGGAUAGGAGCUCCUGCUGCAUGGUGGGGGUUGGAAAGUUUCGGCGGUUGGGGAUGGACUCGCGGCUUAUCAGCUUGUUGGUGGGGUAGUGGCUUACCAAGGCUUUGACGGGUAGCCGGCCUGAGAGGGUGACCGGCCACAUUGGGACUGAGAUACGGCCCAGACUCCUACGGGAGGCAGCAGUGGGGAAUAUUGAACAAUGGGCGGAAGCCUGAUGCAGCAACGCCGCGUGCGGGAUGACAGCCUUCGGGUUGUAAACCGCUUUCGCCUGUGACGAAGCGUGAGUGACGGUAAUGGGUAAAGAAGCACCGGCUAACUACGUG